rnacentral:misc_RNA from 1 species
AGCCCUGCCGACGGCGAGGUGAGUGACGGCCGCUGCUGUGAUCGUCCGCGUUUGAGUUAUUAUCAACAAUCAGUUGUGCGCGCUGUUGUGCGGUGACGUCAUUUCGAGAGCAAAUUCCUCCGCCAGCACCUACCGCGAUCAACAGACAAACGAAAUGAGUUUCUUUCUUGGGAAAUGAGACAAUUCAUUGAUCCGUGAAGAAUUUCUCUCAUUGGCCAACUGAUUUGUAAUCGAAAUACAUCCAUCCAUCUGAAGAAGACAUUUGUGCGUGUGUGUGUAUGUGUGUACUACAUGACACAGGCAAUCUACCGUGUUCAAUUGGGAGAGAUAGCGAGAGACGAGGAGUAGAGCUAUACGGGUGCGCUAGAUAUCCUCAUCGUUAGAUAAUCAACGUGAUUAAGGAGGGACGAGGCAAAUCAAAAGAGAGAGGCCAACAUAUAUAUAGAGAGGCAUCAUCGACAGCAAUAUCUCUCUUCUCUCUUCUAGAAUAUUAUCGGAGCGGUUGGCUGUUGGCUAUAGUUGGCGCCGCUCAGGCCGGGGGUUUCUAAGUGCUUUAAGGGGCGGAGCUUGUUUCCCCCCAUCUUCGACGCCCAUUUGAUAUUCCAUUAGCGGAAUUGGUUUUGAUGGUCUCGCCGUGUGCCCUGACUGCCUGCCCCCCCCACCACCACUGUACACACACACACACACGUCCUAGACAACUACACUUGGGAAAGUGAGUCUAGACCCACCACCUACUAUACAGGCUUAUAUAACGGUGGCGCUAACAACAGCGGCGGGGAGCAAAGGGAAAAAAAGGGGAACCAAAUAUUUUGUUUUUAAAUAAAAGGGAAAAGUGUUGUGUGCGCCAGCAGCAGCUUUUUGCCGCGAUCUCCCAGUUCUCUCUCUCUAUCAUAUCAGCGCAACUAUAUCUACUCGCCAUCUAUCUUCACUUCUUUCUCGCACUUUUGCCAGCAGCGCCCAAAUGACCCGACAGUUUUACUGAUUUUCUUUUCACGAAUUUCUCUUUUCGUCUCCAGCAUCUCUCCCGUUUUGUAUUUGAUGCGCUCUCUUUUCUUUUCCGGCGACGGCCAAAAGUGAACGGGAAAAUCGAAUCAAAAUCCACAUUCGUCUAUCUCAAAAGUGAAGACAAAAUUUCUCUCCUCGGCUCAAUCGCGGCUCCUGUGUGUGUGGCGUUCGCAUUGCGCUGGCGCUAUACACAUCUCCUCUCUCUCUGCCACCACCAGUGUCGAGUGCGAGUGCCAAAUAUAUAUCUAGGCCUGUGCCGAGUGCGUGGGUCGGCCUCGGCCGCUUUUCAGUGUCAGUGCAAGUGUCGGACGGCCAACUUCCUUUCAACUCCGCUCCUGUGUGUGUCUCUUUACUGUGCUCUUAGAUAUUAUACAUGAAUUACACUCGGUCCUUUUCUUCUAUACGCACACACCGCUCGAUGGUUCCGCCGCAUUUUCUCUCUCUCCAUUGUUGUGGAUAAUAUAUCGCCAGCAGAGCUCGUGAAAGAGAGCGCCGAGUAGUCCACAGGAGGAGCAGCUGGAGCCAAGUCCAAAGCAGCAUCCGAGUGGGAGAUUCGCAUUACAUCAGAGGAAAGGAAUUCAAAUAAGGAUUGAAAGGGGAGAUGCACGUUGAAUGCCUUUUCGGAUCGUCGGGGACAACGAAACUGGACGUUUUCUAAUAAAGUGACCCGUUCGCAUUUCGAGUCGACCGAGUGGAAUGCCGCACGACCAGCAACAUCCUCCAAUGGCAGCAUAGAGUCACAGAAGUGGCAAUAUUUUCCAACCCGUUGGAUUCAGUGCAGUGAUGACGUCCUCCAGCAGGAUCACAGCAUCAGCAGUCGACCAAUAAGUUGUUCCGGCCUUGGUUCCCCGAUUUGAAAUUCCCGCCAAAAUCGAAUCUCUCUGAAUUGAAACGAAUAAAAAUUAAAGAAAAAAAAAGAAACCAAAAAAUCAGAAAAUCCAUUUUUUGGCCAGCCGGACAACCGCUGUGAGAGCAUAAGGCAAGAGCCCGUCCCGAUGACGGGGUGCUCUGGCGCCAGCUGUGGAGGCUCAUGUCGUCUACGUCGCCGAUGUCGGCCAGCGCUGGCGGCGGCAACGGUAACAGACGGCGGGGCGUCUUCUCGCUGGGCAAAUAUCGUCUGCCGGUGGUCGGAUCGUCAACUACAAGCAUCCAGCAGCAACAGCAGCAACAGCAUCUCAUCGACAGCAGCAGCAGCAACUCGGGCGGAGGAGGAGGAAGCCGGGCCGUCAAGUAUACGCCGCGCGGACAUCCGCUCCAGCAGCAGCAGCAGGCGGACACGUCGUUACUUCACAGUUCACGCGACAACGGCCAGCACCAGGACGAUGAACUGGAAGAGAUUGCCGUCGUCUCCGUCGUCUCGGGCGUCCAAUCCGGCCAGCUCACUUACGGAUCAGCCGGAUCGUCCAUGGCCAACGGACCCAGAGUCGUUCCAGGUAUUAUCACGUCAGCGCGAUUGAUGGAGGAUCGUCUGAGCGGUUCCGGAACGCGAAUCAACACAGUGGCGUCGAGCACCAGUGGACUGUAUGCGGCCGGAGGCGGUUCGAUCGCGUCGUCCACUGCCGUAGCCAGCGGAUCAACUUCUGUCGUUGGCGGCCCUCCGUCCUUGUCCCGGAACCGUUCCUUCUCCAAACAUUCCCUUUUAGAAAUAGUCAGUAGUCGAAUUAGCAGCGGCGGUGGGACGAGUUCAGUGGAGAGCAGCGGCGGUGGCGUCGGACUGACCAAGCGCUUCUCCCGCGAAUCCUUUUCGGCGGCCUGCGUCAACAAGACGCAACAGCCGCAACAACAACAACAGUUGUUGCAAGCCAACGAUGCGUCGUCGUCGGGCACGGAACUGAUAGCGUCGUCGACAACGAGGAGAUCGCGAGACGCCCGCCGUCGGGAUCUCAAGAACAAGUUGAAGCUCGAACGCAACUGGGACGCCCGUCAACUGGAACUCGGUGGCAACAGUGGUGCUCACAACUUUUCUUCGAUUGGAGUUGGUGCUAAUGGCGUUGGCUCAUCGUCCGGACCAAGGAGUGGGUGCAGGUGGACGUUUGUUUUCGAUCCGGCCGGCCGUUUGUGCUACUAUUGGUCGAUGGUGGUCUCGUUGGCCUUCCUCUACAACUUCUGGGUGCUCAUCUACCGCUUUGCCUUCCAGGAGAUCGCCAGCGACACGCUGGUGAUGUGGUUGUGUCUCGACUACUUUUGCGAUUUGGUCUACGUCCUUGACAUUGCCUUUCACUUCCGGACGGGCUAUCUGGAAGAGGGCGUGUUGCAAACGGACGCCAGCAAAUUGCGACAGCACUAUAUGAACUCGACAACUUUCUACGUCGAUUGCCUUUGCCUGCUCCCGCUCGACUUCCUCUACUUGUCCAUUGGUUUCAAUUCCAUGUUGCGCUGCUUCCGGCUCGUCAAGAUCUACCGGUUCUGGACGUUUAUGGACCGGACGGAGCGGCACACCAACUACCCCAAUGUGUUCCGCUCCAUCAGUCUCGUCCACUAUCUCCUGGUCAUCUUUCACUGGAACGCUUGCCUCUAUCGCAUCGUCAUGCGUAACAACAGUUUCGAUCCGUCUCUCAUCCGCGAGUACGGCCUCUGGAUGGGCCAGCCGACCGACCCCAACGACGGGGUCGGCCAAUACCUGCAGAGCUUCUACCUGUGCACGCUCACGCUCACCACUACCGGAGGAGUCCUCAAGCCCCGCACCAAGGGCGAGCUGCUCUUCGUCAUCAUCCAGCUCAUCUUCGGGCUCAUGCUGUUCGCCACCGUUCUCGGCCACGUCUCCAAUAUCGUCAUAAAUGUCAGCGCAGCACGCAAAGAAUUCCAGGCCAAACUGGACGCGGUGAAGACGUACAUGCGGAUGAGACGAGUGCCGCGACACUUGCAAGUCAAAGUCAUCAAGUGGUUCGACUACUUGUGGUUCACUCAAAAGAGCUCGGACGAGGAGAAAUCUGUUGGCGGAUUACCAGACAAACUCAAAGCGGAGAUUGCCAUUCACGUUCAUCUGGACACACUGAAGCGAGUGGAGAUCUUCCAGAACACUGAAGCCGGCUUCCUGUGCGAGCUCGUUCUCCGAUUGAGACCUGUCCUCUUUUCACCGGGCGAUUACAUCUGUCGGAAAGGGGAAGUAGGCAAAGAAAUGUACAUUGUCAACCGUGGGAGACUUCAGGUGGUAGCUGACAAUGGACGAACUGUUUUGGCUACCCUGAAAGCUGGCUCUUACUUCGGAGAGAUCAGUAUUCUCAACAUGGGGACAGCAGGCAACCGGAGAACAGCUUCAGUCCGUUCGGUGGGCUAUAGCGACUUGUUUGUGCUCUCCAAGAAGGAUAUGUGGGAUGUUCUUAAAGAGUAUCCGGCAGCCAGAGUUCGACUAGAAGCCAUCGCUGUCAAGCGGUUGGAAAAGUACAAAAAAGCUCCACUCGAAAAAGCUGCCCUUGGACGGAGUCAUUCGACGCCCGGUCUCGUCGAGUCCAGUGGACGUAUUCCCUUAGAGAGGAUGGAGCUACCCAACACACAACCUCUUCAUUUGCCGUCCAAUAACGAUUCAACCAACAUCUUCAGAUCGAGCGGUGGGUCCUCUUCAUCGACCGGCACUGGCGUAGAGAGUCGUUGCAGCUUCCGAACGAGCAGAAGGAGUUCUACACUGCAACAACAGCCGCUUCUAACUCCUCAAUUCUUUGGCGAUCCAUCGUCUGGUGGCCUGUUGACGCCGUCAAUAUUUUUAGCGUCAGGAGGUGUAAGCAGCCGGAGUACUUCUCCGGCUAGAGAUUUGGCGGCAACAGAGCCACCAUCAGUGCUGAAGACCUUACCUCCGGCCGACGCACUAGUGGCCGAGAUCAAUCGGUUACGUGAAAGGUUGCUUAUGCUCGAGUCGGAGAAUACUUCUCUCAGUGCAAAACUCAACCGACAGCAAUGGGAAGUGGAAAAUCGCCUGGCCGAGAUCGAAAUGCAAAUCUGUGGGGCCGGAAGUCCUGCUGACAGUGCCACCGAUGACAACGAACGCAAUUUCGAAUCGGCUAUUUAAUGGAGUUCCAUCAAAUCGAGUCUUACACCUGCGUGAGCUGUGACAAUUUAAUAGAAGUGUUGCAAUGCUCCAUUGUGCUCUUUUCGUUGUUUUGCUUGUGUACAAAUGCGAACAGAAAAGAUAUGACAAACAUUCAUUGAAACUGCAAAGAAAUUUUCCUCUUCGUUGAUAAUUUCUAUAAAUGCACAAUAGCCGCCACUAUAUCACCAGCAACCGGGGCAGUCCGCAAUGAUCGUUUGUGUGCGACUAUGAUCUCCUUGCCGUGAUGGACCCGCCCCCUUCGGUUUUGUUGCGUUUGAUUCAGUUUCUCCUGGCCACGUAAGAUUUCUCCUCCGUAUUCAUGCUAUAUUUCCCGAACCGUUACGUUAGAUUUUCUUCUUGCUUUUUACUAUACCACACUGUCCCUGUUUGACUCCUAGUCUGCCAUUCAUAGCCUCACUCUUUCCUCUACCUUCAAUAGAUCUUUCAGCUAAAAAAUUUGAUUCGAAAAAACAUUGUUACGAUACCACCGGUAUCCAUCCACCGCUGUCAAUACGUAGCGCGCCAAUCGUCGAGAAUGAAUUUACACUGUACAGUAUGCAUUCAAGAUUGUUUUAAUCUCACCAGACCUUUUAAUUCUAUUUGAAAGUUCCAUUGUCACUGUUUCACUCCAUUUAAAACAAACCACGAAAACAAUGAUGAGAAAACAACAGAAUACAAGCCCGUUGGAUAAUGUUA